AGGCAUCACCGGGGGAGCUUUCAAUUAUCCAGCAAUUAUAAUGUGCAGCCAGGGCAGAGAACCACUUGUGUCGGGACCAGCAGAGGCUUCACAGGGUUAAUGGUGGCUGAGCUGUAUCCUGAAGGCGCCAUGAUGACGUGCUCACCUCUCAGGGAGGGAGCUGGGACCAACGCGCCCCACCCACUUGUCUUUCUGUUGGGCUGUGUUGCCAUUCUGGAAAGAGCUGGUUUCCUUGCACAGACACAGACCUCUCUACCAGAUCCGCCAAUGAAAGUGACACUCUGCAGGCUCGCAGCAGCUGGCUGUCUCAGGGUCUCCUCUGUGAGCUACUGAAGUCAGAGCGCGUCUCUGUCACCUCCGAGUCUUGACCUGCUCUCCUGACAAAUGGACACGAUCACGCACUGACCUCAGCAGGGUUACCUGAGCCACUUGUUGCCUCAGGAAAGGAAUGUUUGGGAGAAACAGAGAAAAGGCCUCAAAGCAUCAAAUACAUCUGGACUCAGGGCAGAGCGGACCACAGGGGGUCACAGCACAGCCUUCUGCCCCAGAAGAGACAGAGUCUGCUGGGACUGGGGGCAGGGAGAGUCAGUGCAGAAGCUGAGAGUGAGUGAUGCUACGGUGCCUAUGAAGGAAGGAGCCCUGCUCUUCAGUGUUUGCGGACUUCCGUGGGUGAGUACUCCCGGUGUGGCUGAUUUAAAGGUGCCCGUGUGACAUCCCUGAACAUGGAGACACAGGGCAGACAUUUGCACGCUCAGCUCUCACGCGCCUUCCACCUCCCCUCUGGCUGGCUGGUACUGAGGGGAGAGCACGGGGUUCCAGGGAGCGGCCUUUCCUUCCAGAUAUUCUUCCCACUCCCCCAGAUUGUUUUCUGCCUCAAGGAUGGUUCUGGGCUUUUUGCUUUCCCUUCACAUGGUUUUUGGUCAGCGAUCUAAAAAUGGGAGCCAGGCAAGGGCCCUGCAGUCUCCACAGUGCCGUCUCUAAUUUCUGGGCCCCACACUCCUCUCGAGGAUAAACAGCGAUUUCAAAGGACCCCAACAAAGAGUGGUGAAGUACGAGGCAUUGCUGAGAAGUAAUAUCCAAGCCGUGAAAGUGGAAGUGGGAAAGAGGAGCUGUGGGUGGACACGUCUCAGAGGCUGACUAUCUCAGAAGCCGUCACAGAAGACAAAGAACACAGGGAUGUUUAAAGAUCCACUGGCAGCAGAACAAAGGAUGGAAUUAAAAGCAUCUGCAAAACACAGAGAAGAUAAAGCUAUCCCCAGUGUCCACGGCCUCCGUGAUCUUCGUGUUUUGUCUCCCAUUUCUCCAAUACUGGGUUUUAAAACAAGACCUCUGGAUAUUAGCACCUUGCAAUUAUAACUGACCCCUGAACAAUGAGGGGGUUACAGGUGCCAACCACCAAGCAGUCGAAAAUCAGCAUAUAACUUUUGAUUCCCCCAAAACUUAACUAUUAGCCUACUAGGGACCAGAAGCCUCACUGAUAAAACUGUCAAUUAAUGCAUUUUUUGUUCUGUGUAUUAAAUACUGUAUUCUUACAAUAAAGUAAGC